GCCGAGGUGGUGAAACUGGUAUACACGCCAUCUUGAGGGGGUGGUGAGCGCAAGCUCGUAGGAGUUCAAAUCUCCUCCUCGGCACCA
rnacentral:tRNA from 1 species